GGUCUGAGAGGAUGAUCCGCCACACUGGAACUGAGACACGGUCCAGACUCCUACGGGAGGCAGCAGUGGGGAAUUUUGGACAAUGGGGGCAACCCUGAUCCAGCCAUGCCGCGUGAGUGAAGAAGGCCUUCGGGUUGUAAAGCUCUUUCAGCCGGGAAGAAAACGCAUGGGUUAAUACCCUGUGUGGAUGACGGUACCGGAAUAAGAAGCACCGGCUAACUACGUGCCAGCAGCCGCGGUAAUACGUAGGGUGCGAGCGUUAAUCGGAAUUACUGGGCGUAAAGCGUGCGCAGGCGGUUUUGUAAGACAGGCUGAAAUCCCCGGGCUUAACCUGGGAACUGCGUUUGUGACUGCAAGGCUAGAGUACGGCAGAGGGGGGUGGAAUUCCACGUGUAGCAGUGAAAUGCGUAGAGAUGUGGAGGAACACCAAUGGCGAAGGCAGCCCCCUGGGUCGAUACUGACGCUCAUGCACGAAAGCGUGGGUAGCAAACAGGAUUAGAUACCCUGGUAGUCCACGCCCUAAACGAUGUCAACUAGGUGUUGGGAGGGUAAAACCUUUUAGUACCGGAGCUAACGCGUGAAGUUGACCGCCUGGGGAGUACGGCCGCAAGGUUAAAACUCAAAGGAAUUGACGGGGACCCGCACAAGCGGUGGAUGAUGUGGAUUAAUUCGAUGCAACGCGAAAAACCUUACCUACCCUUGACAUGCCAAGAACUUUCCAGAGAUGGAUUGGUGCCCGAAAGGGAACUUGGACACAGGUGCUGCAUGGCUGUCGUCAGCUCGUGUCGUGAGAUGUUGGGUUAAGUCCCGCAACGAGCGCAACCCUUGUCGUUAAUUGCCAUCAUUUAGUUGGGCACUUUAACGAGACUGCCGGUGACAAACCGGAGGAAGGUGGGGAUGACGUCAAGUCCUCAUGGCCCUUAUGGGUAGGGCUUCACACGUCAUACAAUGGUCGGUACAAAGGGUCGCCAAGCCGCGAGGUGGAGCCAAUCCCAGAAAGCCGAUCGUAGUCCGGAUCGCAGUCUGCAACUCGACUGCGUGAAGUCGGAAUCGCUAGUAAUCGUGGAUCAGAAUGUCACGGUGAAUACGUUCCCGGGUCUUGUACACACCGCCCGUCACACCAUGGGAGCGGGUUCCGCCAGAAGUAGGUAGCCUAACCGCAAGGAGGGCGCUUACCACGGCGGGGUUCGUGACUGGGGUGAAGUCGUAACAAGGUA
rnacentral:rRNA from 1 species